rnacentral:lncRNA from 1 species
UUUAUUAGUAAUAUUGAAGUUAACAUCAUUUAUCAUUAGUAAUUAGUCGUAGAAAUAAGUUUUAUAUGAUUUCAUGUGGUACUUUGCUCUUCGCGGAUACGGACAGAUACGUAUAGUAUUUGAUAUUUUACAUUUUUGUUGAAUACGAAUCUUUAAUUAGAGAAAAAUAUUGAAAUUGAAUUCUCGGGGUGUUUGGUUCUUUAGGAGCUUCUAAAAUUCUUGUCACAUCGAAUGUUUAGAUACUAAUUAGAAAUAUUAAAUGUAGACUACUUACAAAACCAAUUGUACAGAUGGAGGCUAAUUUGCGAGACAAAUCUAUUAAGCCUAAUUAAUCCAUGAUUUGAUAAUAUAUUGUUACAGUAAACAUGUGUUAAUGAUGGACUAAUUAGGUUUAAUAGAUUCGUCUCGCGAAUUAGCCUCCAUCUAUGUAAU